AAUCCUACUCUACAUAAAUGAUGAAGUGAAAAGCCAUCUUUAGGUUAGCCAUCUAGCUGAUCCCUUAUAUUCAUCCAUCACGUGAAGAUAUCAUUGCCCUUGUUUGUUGUGAGAAUUCCUGACAUGGUUCUCUGAUUUUGGUGUUUCUUCAGAAAUACCGGCUGCACAACCAGAGGGCGCCUGGAUCUAGCAUGGUGAGCCAGCCAAUCAUGCUUGUGAGAGGGCAACGGGAUUCCCCAAGACAGGAGCAAAGAAAGCUGAUAGUCUGGAUCUCGCCAUGGCCCCGUCCACUUCUCCACCUCGGGCAUCAUCGUCUCGUCGGCAGCCAUAUAUUCCGCUGCGAGGAGAAAGAUGGCCAGUCCAAGAGCUGGAAAUGACGAGGCUUCUACUGCAUCAUCAGUGCGUGGAUAUGAUCGCCGUGAUGGAGGCUACCAAUCACAGUUUCAUGAAUCAAGAGAGAAAUUUGGAGUAGUGUAGUUGUCUGUACACAUACAUAGUUACAUACAGGGAGAUGAGAUGAGAUCAGGCCUUGCACGCCCGAGAUCAAACUAAUGCAACACAUUCCAGGUGCUCAAUUCUGGCAGGCACCAAGGGCCAUGUGAUGCAAUUGCCAUGACGUAUGGGUGGCCUCACCAAACCUAGAAAAAUGUAUCCCACACUUUUAAUCUGGUGUAUAUAUAGAAAAUAAUAUUAUUUUACAUGAAAUUGUUUUACCGAGCAGGGCCGAUCGGUGCAUGAUGCCCUCCACUGACACUUACCAUGUGCUCCACCAAAUGCGCUGCUGCUUGAGUCAUUCUUUGUCUGCUGUUUCCUGACCUAACACCCUCGGUAGCGGACUUGACGUCCUCCAUUUCUUCACCAAUGGUUCUUGUUUGCAGCCAUUAGACCCGUGGGCAACAUUAUCACUACUAUGGUAAGUAGCGAUGUUGCAGCGCUAGAAGAAAAAAUUUUUAGAAGAGAUAGAUUCUCAAAUUAACAAAGAUGGGCUUACACUUUUUUUCCUAGCGCGCAAAAAAACUAGAAGUUCGCAGCGGAGAGAUGUGCUCCAACACAAUAGAGCUACCGCCACGUUGUCGGCAGAGAAAGACACCUCUGCCUCCAGCGUACUCACCAACGGAGAUCUCCUUGACAAUAUCCUUCUCCGCCUUGGAUGCCAGAGCGGCCUCGUUAGUGGCACGUUCACUAGCAAGUGCUGGCUUCACGGUGCUUCAUCCCUGACUUCUGCAAGUGCCACCUGGCGAGCCCACUCAGGUCUACUUCUCUGGUGGCGGCGUUUCUGGCUCGGAGUUGACCCCGCUACAUGAUGCCUUUAGCCCGGAGGUGAGUGCUGAGUUCAGUUUCAGUGACUUGGUCCUCUUUGAGUUAGGUGGCAAAACCUUCAUACGUGCUGAUCUUGCUGUGCGCUCCCCACUGCUGAACCCUAACAUGGACAAGGCCGUGGUGCUCCCACUAUUGCUGCAGCCGUCCUCCUUCUCAGAGUACCCCAUGAGAAGCUCCUCCCAGGUGACCAUGGUGACGACACCUUGUGCUACCACGUCAACAUCUGCACCAUGGUGUCAGACAAUAAGGUCGCAGUGCAGGUGCGUGUCCUGUGUGGUCCGGAACCUGGGCCAUCCACUGCAUAGCCAAGGGCCUUCUUGCUAAGUCACCGGUUGAGAUCCUGCCGACUACUGUGCUCUCCAACAACAAGAUCUACAUGGUGAUGCAAGUAUGAUACAUCCUGGGACAGGACCUCACUAUGGAGAGAUUCUUCAUAUAAAUUAUGUCAUACCAAACCUAGAAAAAUGUAUCCCACACUUUUAGUCAGCUGUAUAAAUAAAAAGGAAUAUUU
rnacentral:lncRNA from 1 species